CCACAAUCCAGUUCUUCCGCUUCCAAGUCCUGCGAGCCUGUGCCGUUGGCCUGCUGUGUGGGCAGGCUUCAGAUAUGCCGCUGCCAGAGCAUUUGGCAUAAGGAGCGGUGCCACAGGCUGUGGAGAGAGCCGAUGAGGAAAGCAAGCUGGUUCAGGAACUUGCUGAAACACCACCCGGCGAGUGGGAGAGUUGGCGCCAGCCCAGUGUCUGCAGGACCCCCGAGUCCUGCCUCUGAUGUCCCCACCUACUCCAGUCCAAACUGAACUUGCUGCCGUUUCCAGAACAUUCCAUGCUGUUUCAGUCCUCUGUUUCUUUGCCUACGCAGUGUUCUCCUUCCCGGUGCAUAUAGAGAAUUACGAUGUUUCAGGCUGAGGUUGAAGAGUGCACACAGUGUGUCUGCAUCUGACAGACUCAAACUCUACUUAGUUUGCAAGGAACAGUUGUCAUGGCAACACACACUUACCCCGGCCUGGCUGGCACCACCGACUGCUGAUCAGCGUGUCUUUUGUUUCUUCCUCUGUAAAAGAAUCUCUUUCGGGACAGACACGACCAGGAGAAACCACUUCAGGCUGACACGAUUCAUAACCCUCAGUGUAAACCAAUCUUCAUCUUUGUGACUGGGGCCAAGGAAGAAAUGGGGAGAAUUGCCCACCAUGGGUGGCUUAUGGAAGGGUCCUAACAAUGUGCUGUGGCACCUAGAUCCCAGGAGCCCAUGCCCUGCCCCACAGCCCCAGGCUCAAUUUCAAACCCCAGUUACUGAAAUUCCUGCUCCCCAUCCCAGUGUCCUGGCCCUACCUUGGGGUCCCCAGGGCUCACCCCACACCUGCCCGAGAGAAGAAUUUUGAAGAAAUCGUUCCU